AUACGUAGGUGGCAAGCGUUGUCCGGAAUUAUUGGGCGUAAAGCGCAUGUAGGCGGUUUGGUAAGUCGGUCGUGAAAAUGCGGUGCUUAACGCCGUAUGGCGAUUGACACUGCUGAACUUGAGUGCAGGAGAGGAAAGGGGAACUCCCAGUGUAGCGGUGAAAUGCGUAGAUAUUGGGAAGAAAACCGGUGGUGAAGGCGCCUUUCUGGACUGUGUCUGACGCUCAGAUGCGAAAGCCAGGGUAGCGAACGGGAUUAGAUACCCCGGUAGUCCUGGCCGUAAACGAUGGGUACUAGGUGUGGGAGGUAUCGACUCCUUCCGUGCCGGAGUUAACGCAAUAAGUACCCCGCCUGGGGAGUACGGCCGCAAGGCUUAAACUCAAAUGAAUUGACGGGG
rnacentral:rRNA from 1 species